rnacentral:rRNA from 1 species
GAUGAACGCUGGCUACAGGCUUAACACAUGCAAGUCGAGGGGAAACGACGGGGAAGCUUGCUUCCCCGGGCGUCGACCGGCGCACGGGUGAGUAACGCGUAUCCAACCUGCCUCUGACUGAGGGAUAACCCGUCGAAAGUCGGCCUAAUACCUCAUGGCAUCGUCUGCGGGCAUCCAACGACGAUUAAAGAUUUCAUCGGUCAGAGAUGGGGAUGCGUCUGAUUAGCUUGUUGGCGGGGUAACGGCCCACCAAGGCGACGAUCAGUAGGGGUUCUGAGAGGAAGGUCCCCCACAUUGGAACUGAGACACGGUCCAAACUCCUACGGGAGGCAGCAGUGAGGAAUAUUGGUCAAUGGGCGAGAGCCUGAACCAGCCAAGUAGCGUGCAGGAUGACGGCCCUAUGGGUUGUAAACUGCUUUUAUGCGGGGAUAAAGUGAGGGACGUGUCCUUCAUUGCAGGUACCGUAUGAAUAAGGACCGGCUAAUUCCGUG